GUACCUAAAGUCGGUAACCGUAAGGAGCCGCCUAGGUAAACGUGGUGACUGGGGCU
rnacentral:rRNA from 1 species